rnacentral:rRNA from 1 species
AACGAACGCUGGCGGCAUGCCUAACACAUGCAAGUCGAACGAGACCUUCGGGUCUAUUGGCGCACGGGUGCGUAACGCGUGGGAACCUGCCCUUGUGUUCGGCAUACCUCCCCGAAAGGGUUACUAUUGCGGAAUAGGAUCUUCUACCCAAAAAUUUAUCGCAUUGGAUUGGUCCAGCGUUGAAUUAGCUGUUUGUUAGGGUAAAAGCCUACCACGGGGCGGAUCAGUAGCUGGUAUAGGAGAAUGAUCAGCAACACUGGGAUUGAGACACGGCCCAGACUCCUACGGGAGGCAGCAGUGGGGAAUAUUGGACAAUGGGCGAAAGCCUGAUCCAGCAAUGCCGCGUGAGUGAUGAAGGCCUUAGGGUUGUAAAGCUCUUUUACCCGGGAUGAUAAUGACAGUACCGGGAGAAUAAGCUCCGGCUAACUCCGUG